UCCUGCCGGACCUGACUGCUAUCGGAUUGAUACUAAGCCAUGCGAGUCUUUGCAGUAAUGCAAGGCAUACGGCUCAGUAACACGUAGUCAACCUACCCUAUGGACGAGAAUAAUCUCGGGAAACUGAGCAUAAUUCUUGAUAGAUCAUAAUGCCUGGAAUGGUUUAUGGUUAAAAUGAUUCGUCGCCAUAGGAUGGGACUGCGGCCUAUCAGCUUGUUGGUGAGGUAAUGGCCCACCAAGGCGAUUACAGGUACGGGCUCUGAGAGGAGAAGCCCGGGGAUGGGUACUGAGACACGGACCCAGGCCCUAUGGGGCGCAGCAGGCGAGAAAACUUUGCAAUGUGCGAAAGCACGACAAGGUUAAUCCGAGUGAUUUCUGCUAAAGAAAUCUUUUACCAGUCGUAAAACCGCUGGUGAAUAAGGGGUGGGCAAGUUCUGGUGUCAGCCGCCGCGGUAAAACCAGCACCUCAAGUGGUCAGGAUGAUUAUUGGGCCUAAAGCAUCCGUAGCCGGCUUUGUAAGUUUUCGGUUAAAUCCAUGUGCUCAACGCAUGGGCUGCCGAAAAUACUGCAUAGCUAGGGAGUGGGAGAGGUAGACGGUACUCAGUAGGUAGGGGUAAAAUCCUUUGAUCUAUUGAUGACCACCUGUGGCGAAGGCGGUCUACCAGAACACGUUCGACGGUGAGGGAUGAAAGCUGGGGGAGCAAACCGGAUUAGAUACCCGGGUAGUCCCAGCCGUAAACUAUGCAAACUCAGUGAUGCAUUGGCUUGUGGCCAAUGCAGUGUUGCAGGGAAGCCGUUAAGUUUGCCGCCUGGGAAGUACGUACGCAAGUAUGAAACUUAAAGGAAUUGGCGGGGGAGCACCACAAGGGUGAAGCCUGCGGUUCAUUGGAGUCACCGCCG
rnacentral:rRNA from 1 species